rnacentral:rRNA from 1 species
UCCGUGCCAGCAGCCGCGGUAAUACGGAGGAUCCGAGCGUUAUCCGGAUUUAUUGGGUUUAAAGGGAGCGUAGAUGGGUUGUUAAGUCAGUUGUGAAAGUUUGCGGCUCAACCGUAAAAUUGCAAUUGAUACUGGCAGUCUUGAGUACAGUUGAGGUAGGCGGAAUUCGUGGUGUAGCGGUGAAAUGCUUAGAUAUCACGAAGAACUCCGAUUGCGAAGGCAGCUUACUGGAUUGUAACUGACGCUGAUGCUCGAAAGUGUGGGUAUCAAACAGGAUUAGAUACCCUGGUAGUCCACACAGUAAACGAUGAAUACUCGCUGUUUGCGAUAUACAGUAAGCGGCCAAGCGAAAGCGUUAAGUAUUCCACCUGGGGAGUACGCCGGCAACGGUGAAACUCAAAGGAAUUGACGGGGGCCCGCACAAGCGGAGGAACAUGUGGUUUAAUUCGAUGAUACGCGAGGAACCUUACCCGGGCUUAAAUUGCAAAGGAAUUGCGUGGAAACAUGCAAGUCUUCGGACCUUUGUGAAGGUGCUGCAUGGUUGUCGUCAGCUCGUGCCGUGAGGUGUCGGCUUAAGUGCCAUAACGAGCGCAACCCUUGCCGAUAGUUACUAACAGGUUAUGCUGAGGACUCUGUCGGGACUGCCAUCGUAAGAUGUGAGGAAGGUGGGGAUGACGUCAAAUCAGCACGGCCCUUACGUCCGGGGCUACACACGUGUUACAAUGGGGGGUACAGAGGGCCGCUACCACGCGAGUGGAUGCCAAUCCCCAAAACCUCUCUCAGUUCGGACUGGAGUCUGCAACCCGACUCCACGAAGCUGGAUUCGCUAGUAAUCGCGCAUCAGCCACGGCGCGGUGAAUACGUUCCCGGGCCUUGUACACACCGCCCGUCAAGCCAUGGGAGCCGGGGGUACCUGAAGUGCGUAACCGCGAGGAGCGCCCUAGGGUAAAACUGGUGACUGGGGCUAAGUCGUAACAAGGUAGCCGUACCGGAAGGUGCGGCUG